AGAAAUUAGAACGGAAGAGCCAGAUUUUGUUCUACCUAUCCAAAGACCAAAAAUAACAGUAGAACAUUCUUCGGACUCCGAUUCUGUGUGUUUUGAAGAUGAUGUUGAAGUCGAAGAUUCUACUUCCACAAGAAACAUUGGUACACAGGUUGUGGAAGAAGAACUGGGACUCAUAUCAAG